CUGACAUCACCCCCUGGUCCCCCUGGAAUGCAGUGAUAAGUGUCAGCCUAUUUUUCUUACAGGCAAUUUCUCUGGCUAUGUGAUGUCUGGCUGCAAAUUUAAAGUCUCGGCUGAGCCCCGAGUGCACACCCAUCUUCCUGCCUCUGGAAGAUCUCCCUGCUCCAGGAUCUAUCCAGGAGAGCUGGGCUGCAAAGCAAGCGCAGCAUCCUCGAGCAGGAAUUGCGUUUUAAAAUAUUGUUACACCAUUCGGCUGAGCAAGCUCCUCUCAUCUGCCCUGAGCCGCCGUGUCCUGCUCCAGCUUCAGAUUCCGCAGCAUGUGCAGGAGGGAAGGAUGUUUGUUCCUUCACUGAGAGCCAGGGGACGGGGGAAUUCUGCCACUAAUUUGUUCUGAUCCUGCUGCCUCAUUAGGGCAGUCUGGAAAAGAUGGGAAAUGUGUCCUAUGGCAGUGAACUUUCUGCAUGGAGCUGUUAACACAGUAAAUAGCUCAGGAGGAGGGAGGGAGACAGCUGGAGCACAUUGUGUUUCAUAAAGACUAUACCGGGACCUUGAGUCUUCAUUUAACCCAUCACUGAGGUGACAAAUAUCCACUGCUUUGCUGCUGGGUGAUGCUGCUGCUGCUUGCCUGUUAAUUUAUCUGUUUUCAGGCUGUCUAGACAUUGUUUGGGUCAAAAAGUGCUGUCUCUCCCCUGCCGUGGGAUUUGCCUGCUCAGCUCUUGCUGCAGGCUGCUGUGCCAAACG
rnacentral:lncRNA from 1 species